rnacentral:rRNA from 1 species
CAAAAACAUGUCCUUUAGAUAAUUAUUUAAGGUCUAACCUGCCCACUGAUAUAUAAUUGAAUGGCCGCAGUAUUUUAACUGUGCAAAGGUAGCAUAAUCAUUAGUCUUUUAAUUGAAGGCUAGAAUGAAUGGUUGGACGAAGUGUAAGCUGUCUCAUGAAAAUUUAUUUUAGAAUUUUAUUUUUCAGUAAAAAAGCUGAAAUAUAAUUUAAAGACGAGAAGACCCUAUAGAUUUUUAUAGAUUUUAUUAAUAAAGAUAUUUAGAAUUUUAAAUUUUUAUUUUUAUAUUCUAUUUUGUUGGGGUGACAUUAAAAUUUUAUAAACUUUUAUUAUUUAUUUACAUUUAUUUAUGAAUAAUUGAUCCAUUAGUAGUGAUUAUAAGUUUAAAUUACCUUAGGGAUAACAGCGUAAUUUUCUUGGAGAGUUCAUAUCGAUAAGGAAGAUUGCGACCUCGAUGUUGGAUUAAAUUUAAAAUUGGGUGUAGAAGUUCAAUUUUUAAGUCUGUUCGACUUUUAAUUUUUACAUGAACU